GCGAAAGCAGGUCAUAGUGAUCCGGUGGUUCUGAAUGGAAGGGCCAUCGCUCAACGGAUAAAAGGUACUCCGGGGAUAACAGGCUGAUACCGCCCAAGAGUUCAUAUCGACGGCGGUGUUUGGCACCUCGAUGUCGGCUCAUCACAUCCUGGGGCUGAAGUAGGUCCCAAGGGUAUGGCUGUUCGCCAUUUAAAGUGGUACGCGAGCUGGGUUUAGAACGUCGUGAGACAGUUCGGUCCCUAUCUGCCGUGGGCGCUGGAGAACUGAGGGGGGCUGCUCCUAGUACGAGAGGACCGGAGUGGACGCAUCACUGGUGUUCGGGUUGUCAUGCCAAUGGCACUGCCCGGUAGCUAAAUGCGGAAGAGAUAAGUGCUGAAAGCAUCUAAGCACGAAACUUGCCCCGAGAUGAGUUCUCCCUGAGACUUAAAGUCUCCUGAAGGAACGUUGAAGACGACGACGUUGAUAGGCCGGGUGUGUAAGCGCAGCGAUGCGUUGAGCUAACCGGUACUAAUGAACCGUGAGGCUUAACCUUACAACGCCGAAG
rnacentral:rRNA from 1 species